rnacentral:rRNA from 1 species
GAUGAACGCUAGCUACAGGCUUAACACAUGCAAGUCGAGGGGAAACGACAUCGAAAGCUUGCUUUUGAUGGGCGUCGACCGGCGCACGGGUGAGUAACGCGUAUCCAACCUGCCCAUCACUUGGGAAUAACCUUGCGAAAGUAAGACUAAUACCCAAUGACAUCCCACGAAGACAUCUGAAUGGGAUUAAAGAUUUAUCGGUGAUGGAUGGGGAUGCGUCUGAUUAGCUUGUUGGCGGGGUAACGGCCCACCAAGGCAACGAUCAGUAGGGGUUCUGAGAGGCAGGUCCCCCACAUUGGAACUGAGACACGGUCCAAACUCCUACGGGAGGCAGCAGUGAGGAAUAUUGGUCAAUGGGCGAGAGCCUGAACCAGCCAAGUAGCGUGCAGGAGGACGGCCCUAUGGGUUGUAAACUGCUUUUAUAAGGGAAUAAAGUGGGUCUCGUGAGACUUUUUGCAUGUACCUUAUGAAUAAGGACCGGCUAAUUCCGUG